GGGCCCGCACAAGCGGCGGAGCAUGCGGAUUAAUUCGAUGCAACGCGAAGAACCUUACCUGGGUUUGACAUACACCCUGCCGCUCCAGAGAUGGGCGUUCCCUUGUGGCUGGUGUGCAGGUGGUGCAUGGCUGUCGUCAGCUCGUGUCGUGAGAUGUUGGGUUAAGUCCCGCAACGAGCGCAACCCUUGUCCUAUGUUGCCAGCGGGUGAUGCCGGGGACUCAUGGGAGACUGCCGGGGUCAACUCGGAGGAAGGUGGGGAUGACGUCAAGUCAUCAUGCCCCUUAUGUCCAGGGCUUCACACAUGCUACAAUGGCCGGUACAGAGGGCUGCGAAGCCGUGAGGUGGAGCGAAUCUCGUAAAGCCGGUCUCAGUUCGGAUCGGGGUCUGCAACUCGACCCCGUGAAGUCGGAGUCGCUAGUAAUCGCAGA
rnacentral:rRNA from 1 species